AACGAACGCUGGCGGCAGGCCUAACACAUGCAAGUCGAGCGCCCCAGCAAUGGGGAGCGGCGCACGGGUGAGUAACACGUGGGAACGUGCCUAUCGGUUCGGAAUAACUCAGGGAAACUUGAGCUAAUACCGAAUACGCCCUCAGGGGGAAAGAUUUAUCGCCGAUAGAGCGGCCCGCGUCCGAUUAGCUAGUUGGUGAGGUAAAGGCUCACCAAGGCGACGAUCGGUAGCUGGUUUGAGAGAACGAUCAGCCACACUGGGACUGAGACACGGCCCAGACUCCUACGGGAGGCAGCAGUGGGGAAUCUUGGACAAUGGGGGAAACCCUGAUCCAGCCAUGCCGCGUGAGUGAUGAAGGCCCUAGGGUUGUAAAACUCUUUCGGCGGGGACGAUAAUGACGGUACCCGCAGAAGAAGCUCCGGCUAACUUCGUGCCAGCAGCCGCGGUAAUACGAAGGGGGCUAGCGUUGUUCGGAAUUACUGGGCGUAAAGCGCGCGCAGGCGGUCUUU
rnacentral:rRNA from 1 species